rnacentral:rRNA from 1 species
GAUGAACGCUGGCGGCGUGCCUAAUACAUGCAAGUCGAGCGAACAGACGAGGAGCUUGCUCCUCUGACGUUAGCGGCGGACGGGUGAGUAACAAGUGGAUAACCUACCUAUACGACUGGGAUAACUUCGGGAAACCGGAGCUAAUAACGGAUAAUAUAUUGAACCGCAUGGUUCAAUAGUGAAAGACGGUUUUGCUGUCACUUAUAGAUGGAUCCGCGCCGCAUUAGCUAGUUGGUAAGGUAACGGCUUACCAAGGCAACGAUGCGUAGCCGACCUGAGAGGGUGAUCGGCCACACUGGAGCUGCGACACGGUCCAGACUCCUACGGGAGGCAGCAGUAGGGAAUCUUCCGCAAUGGGCGAAAGCUUGACGGAGCAACGCCGCGUGAGUGAUGAAGGUCUUCGGAUCGUAGAACUCUGUUAUUAGGGAAGAACAAAUGUGUAAGUAACUAUGCACGUCUUGACGGUACCUAAUCAGAAAGCCACGGCUAACUACGUG